GUGACCGUAGUUCAGUUGGUAGAGCGCCAGUUUGUGGCACUGGUUGUCGCGAGUUCGAUCCUCGUCGGUCACCCCA
rnacentral:tRNA from 17 species